UACAGAGGUCUCAAGCGUUUGUUCGGAUUCAUUGGGCGUAAAGGGUGCGUAGGUGGCGCCGUAAGUCGGGUGUGAAAUUUCGAGGCUUAACCUCGAAACUGCAUUCGAUACUGCGGUGCUUGAGGACUGGAGAGGAGACUGGAAAUUCAUGGUGUAGCAGUGAAAUGCGUAGAGAUCAUGAGGAAGACCAGUGGCGAAGGCGGGUCUCUGGACAGUUCCUGACACUGAGACACGAAGGCCAGGGGAGCAAACGGG
rnacentral:rRNA from 1 species